rnacentral:rRNA from 1 species
UCUAAAGGGACUGCCGGUGUUAAACCGGAGGAAGGUGGGGAUGACGUCAAGUCCUCAUGGCCUUUAUGACCCAGGGCUACACACGUACUACAAUGGCCGAUACAAAGGGCAGCGACACUGCGAGGUGAAGCCAAUCCCGUAAAAUCGGUCUCAGUCCGGAUUGGAGUCUGCAACUCGACUCCAUGAAGUUGGAAUCGCUAGUAAUCGUGGAUCAGCAUGCCACGGUGAAUACGUUCCCGGGCCUU